rnacentral:rRNA from 1 species
UGACGUGCUUGCACUGAAUGAGAUUUUAACACGAAGUGAGUGGCGGACGGGUGAGUAACACGUGGGUAACCUGCCCAGAAGCAGGGGAUAACACCUGGAAACAGAUGCUAAUACCGUAUAACAGAGAAAACCGCCUGGUUUUCUUUUAAAAGAUGGCUCUGCUAUCACUUCUGGAUGGACCCGCGGCGCAUUAGCUAGUUGGUGAGGUAACGGCUCACCAAGGCGAUGAUGCGUAGCCGACCUGAGAGGGUAAUCGGCCACAUUGGGACUGAGACACGGCCCAGACUCCUACGGGAGGCAGCAGUAGGGAAUCUUCCACAAUGGACGCAAGUCUGAUGGAGCAACGCCGCGUGAGUGAAGAAGGGUUUCGGCUCGUAAAGCUCUGUUGUUAAAGAAGAACGUGGGUGAGAGUAACUGUUCACCCAGUGACGGUAUUUAACCAGAAAGCCACGGCUAACUACGUGCCAGCAGCCGCGGUAAUACGUAGGUGGCAAGCGUUAUCCGGAUUUAUUGGGCGUAAAGCGAGCGCAGGCGGUCUUUUAAGUCUAAUGUGAAAGCCUUCGGCUCAACCGAAGAAGUGCAUUGGAAACUGGGAGACUUGAGUGCAGAAGAGGACAGUGGAACUCCAUGUGUAGCGGUGAAAUGCGUAGAUAUAUGGAAGAACACCAGUGGCGAAGGCGGCUGUCUGGUCUGUAACUGACGCUGAGGCUCGAAAGCAUGGGUAGCGAACAGGAUUAGAUACCCUGGUAGUCCAUGCCGUAAACGAUG